rnacentral:misc_RNA from 1 species
GAUGAAGAACGUAGCAAAAUGCGAUAAGUAAUGUGAAUUGCAGAAUUCAGUGAAUCAUCGAAUCUUUGAACGCACAUUGCGCCCGCCAGUAUUCUGGCGGGCAUGCCUGUUCGAGCGUCAUUUCAACCCUCAAGCACAGCUUGGUGUUGGGACUCGCGUUAAUUCGCGUUCCCCAAAUUGAUUGGCGGUCACGUCGAGCUUCCAUAGCGUAGUAGAUAAACCCUCGUUACUGGUAAUCGUCGCGGCCACGCCGUUAAACCCCAACUUCUGAAUGUUGACCUCGGAUCAGGUAGGAAUACCCGCUGAACUUAAGCAUAUCAAUAGGCGGAGGA